rnacentral:tRNA from 4 species
GGGCCAGUAGCUCACGUGCGGUUAGAGCAGACCCCUCAUAAGGGUAAGGUACGGUGUUCGACUCACCGCUGGCUCA